CACUGGAAAGGUGGAGAGACUGAGAGAGAGAGACAGAGAGAGUGAAGAGAACGAGAGACAGGCAGAGAGAGACAGAGAGAAAGAGACAGAGAGCGAGAGAGGGAACACUGCAUGAGAUCUUGGAGAGUGUAAGAGAUAGAUAGAGAGAGUGGGAGUGAGAGAGAGAGAGUGGGAGAUAGAUGCCUAAAGACAGAGAGAGAGAGAGACAAGGAGAGGAAGAAAGUGUGAUAAAGAGAGCAAGAGAGUAUCUGUAAUACCCACUGAAAUAAGAGACUGAGAGGACUAAAGAGAAGGGG